rnacentral:lncRNA from 1 species
GAGUUCUUUGCGGAGCUGCUUUUCAGCAGAGACCUGCAGCAUCAGAAAGAGCCAGUGAGCUGGUGACCUGGGAAAAGAGAGUUGCAGGCAAAGGGAACGGCCAGUGCAGAGGCCGUGGGGUAAGAAUAACCUUGGUGUGCUCCAGGGACAGAAAGAAGACCAGGGCACCCAGUCCACUGAGUGGAAGGAAGAGAAAUAUGCCAAGGGUGGAAAGGUCCCUGAUCAACUGGCGAAGACACUAUCACUUCCAAUGAGGCCAUAUAGAGCCUUACUUCAGGCCACUUAUACUUCCACUCAACGUGGACAACCAGAUGUCUCACCUGCUUGUAGUGCUUCUCUUCAUUGCUCUUAGAGGAUCACCCCCAAGAGGGGAUACAGUGCAGCAGAAGUUCACUUUCAGUUUCUGCUCACAUAUCAAACAAACCCAUCCAUGCCCAUGAUGAAUCUCUUUCUCCUGUGUCAGGUAGUUGUUGUCCAGAGCCGCCGUGUAAGAAGUACCUUUCACCUUCCACCAUGAUUGUGAGGCCUCCCCAGCCACGUGGAAAUGGCAGGUGCAGAGGAUCCAGCAUGUUAUUCUGAAACCCCAGAAGACGCUGCAGCUACCAAAUAGAAGGAGCCUGGAUCCCUGAAUGUCUUCAUGGAACAGAACAUUCUCCUCACUCCAGUCUGUUUGAACCAGAAUAUGACCUGAGCAAGAAAUAAGCCUUAAUUAUAUUUGACCAUAGAAUUCUGGUGAUAUUUCUAUGGCUGUAAGUCCAUGUUGAUUAAUACAAAGGGAUGCUGUAAAGCCUCUUCUAUUAAAAAAAGUUGCCCAAGGA